GUUGGAUACGGAGACAUGGCACCGAAGACGUUCUACGGCAUGUUUGUUGGUGCUUUGUGUGCCCUAGCUGGUGUACUUACAAUAGCAUUACCCGUUCCGGUUAUUGUCAGCAAC
rfam:Clunio marinus genome assembly, contig: CLTMA_superscaffold_21